rnacentral:rRNA from 1 species
UGCUUCCCGAAAAACCUAUGGAAAGUAAUUUCUGCCCAGUGAAAACUUAAACGGCCGCGGUACCCUGACCGUGCAAAGGUAGCAUAAUAGCUUGCCUUUUAAUUAAAGGCUUGUAUGAACGAACCAACGAGAGUUUGACUGUCUCCUAGAUAAACACGAAAAUUAACCUUUAUGUGAAAAGGCAUAAAUUAAACUAAAAGACAAAAAGACCCUGUCGAGCUUAAUUGUUAAAACCCCCCAAGAAAAGUAUUUCACUCUUGCUAGGCAAUAAAUCAAUUUAGUUGGGGCAACAAGGGAACAGCACAAACCUUCCCUUAGCUAAUUAAUAAUAAUUUGAUGACCCCCCAACCGGGCCAAAAGAUAAAAGCUACCGCAGGGAUAACAGGUUAAUUUUUCUCGAGAGUACACAUUAACAGAAAAGAUUUACACCUCGAUGUUGGCUUAGGCUAUCCCACUAGUGCAGAAGCUAGUAACGGCAGGUUUGUUCACCCUAAAAAAGCCUACGUGAUCUG